rnacentral:rRNA from 1 species
AGAGUUUGAUCAUGGCUCAGAUUGAACGCUGGCGGCAGGCCUAACACAUGCAAGUCGAGCGGUAGCACAGAGAGCUUGCUCUCGGGUGACGAGCGGCGGACGGGUGAGUAAUGUCUGGGAAACUGCCUGAUGGAGGGGGAUAACUACUGGAAACGGUAGCUAAUACCGCAUAACGUCGCAAGACCAAAGUGGGGGACCUUCGGGCCUCAUGCCAUCAGAUGUGCCCAGAUGGGAUUAGCUAGUAGGUGGGGUAACGGCUCACCUAGGCGACGAUCCCUAGCUGGUCUGAGAGGAUGACCAGCCACACUGGAACUGAGACACGGUCCAGACUCCUACGGGAGGCAGCAGUGGGGAAUAUUGCACAAUGGGCGCAAGCCUGAUGCAGCCAUGCCGCGUGUGUGAAGAAGGCCUUCGGGUUGUAAAGCACUUUCAGCGGGGAGGAAGGCGUUAAGGUUAAUAACCUUGGCGAUUGACGUUACCCGCAGAAGAAGCACCGGCUAACUCCGUGCCAGCAGCCGCGGUAAUACGGAGGGUGCAAGCGUUAAUCGGAAUUACUGGGCGUAAAGCGCACGCAGGCGGUCUGUCAAGUCGGAUGUGAAAUCCCCGGGCUUAACCUGGGAACUGCAUUCGAAACUGGCAGGCUAGAGUCUUGUAGAGGGGGGUAGAAUUCCAGGUGUAGCGGUGAAAUGCGUAGAGAUCUGGAGGAAUACCGGUGGCGAAGGCGGCCCCCUGGACAAAGACUGACGCUCAGGUGCGAAAGCGUGGGGAGCAAACAGGAUUAGAUACCCUGGUAGUCCACGCCGUAAACGAUGUCGAUUUGGAGGUUGUGCCCUUGAGGCGUGGCUUCCGGAGCUAACGCGUUAAAUCGACCGCCUGGGAGUACGGCCGCAAGGUUAAAACUCAAAUGAAUUGACGGGGGCCCGCACAAGCGGUGGAGCAUGUGGUUUAAUUCGAUGCAACGCGAAGAACCUUACCUGGUCUUGACAUCCACAGAACUUUCCAGAGAUGGAUUGGUGCCUUCGGGAACUGUGAGACAGGUGCUGCAUGGCUGUCGUCAGCUCGUGUUGUGAAAUGUUGGGUUAAGUCCCGCAACGAGCGCAACCCUUAUCCUUUGUUGCCAGCGGUCCGGCCGGGAACUCAAAGGAGACUGCCAGUGAUAAACUGGAGGAAGGUGGGGAUGACGUCAAGUCAUCAUGGCCCUUACGACCAGGGCUACACACGUGCUACAAUGGCAUAUACAAAGAGAAGCGACCUCGCGAGAGCAAGCGGACCUCAUAAAGUAUGUCGUAGUCCGGAUUGGAGUCUGCAACUCGACUCCAUGAAGUCGGAAUCGCUAGUAAUCGUAGAUCAGAAUGCUACGGUGAAUACGUUCCCGGGCCUUGUACACACCGCCCGUCACACCAUGGGAGUGGGUUGCAAAAGAAGUAGGUAGCUUAACCUUCGGGAGGGCGCUUACCACUUUGUGAUUCAUGACUGGGGUGAAGUCGUAACAAGGUAACCGUAGGGGAACCUGCGGUUGGAUCACCU